rnacentral:rRNA from 1 species
UACGUAGGGUGCAAGCGUUAAUCGGAAUUACUGGGCGUAAAGCGUGCGCAGGCGGUUUUGUAAGUCUGUCGUGAAAUCCCCGGGCUUAACCUGGGAAUGGCGAUGGAGACUGCAAGGCUAGAGUUUGGCAGAGGGGGGUAGAAUUCCACGUGUAGCAGUGAAAUGCGUAGAGAUGUGGAGGAACACCGAUGGCGAAGGCGGCCACCUGGAUGGUGACUGACGCUGAGGCGCGAAAGCUAGGGGAGCAAACGGG